rnacentral:rRNA from 1 species
AUUCCGCUGAAUUUAAGCAUAUAAGUAAGUGGUGGAAAUUAAACCAAAUGGGAUAUCUUUAGUAAUUACGAAUGAACAAGGAUAUGCGUAGCUUGACAAAUGGAGCUAUUGGCUUUGAAUUGUAUUGUGGAAAUGUAUUACCAACAGAGGUGCAGGUGCCAGCAUAUUGAAAUAGAGCGUCAAUGAGGGUGAGAAUCCUGUUUGCCAUGUGCAGCCCUUUGUGCACGGUGUAUAUUUGCUGAGUCACACUCCUUGGCAUUGGAAUGCAAAGUGGGUGGUAAGUUUCAUGUAAAGGUAAACAUGCAAUUGAGACUGAUAGCACACAAGUACCAUGAGGGAAAUAUGAAAAGGACUUUGAAAAGAGAAUUAAAUGAGUUUGUAUUUGCUGAACACAAAGUAAACAGACUUGAUUUGCUUGGUGGGAGUGUUGCACUUGCUUGACAAGAGCUUUGGGCUGUGGGUGUAAUGAUUCUUUCUUUGCAUGCCAGUUUCUAUUUGUACAUCUGAUUACCUUUGCACAUGAAUGAUAAGUCUCCUGUGGGGGGUGGAUUGCAUGUGCAUGUAAUGAUUUGUGUUUUGAUAAAUGUGUCUGGUGUAUGUGUGUGUUCCUGUGCUUGGGGAUGCUUCCUUCCUUGGACUUACAAGCCCUGACACACACAUGCUGGCAAAAUGCUUCUGCUUGACCCGUCUUGAAAAU